rnacentral:lncRNA from 13 species
CUCCUGCCUCAGCCUCUGGAGCGGCUGGAAUCACAGGUAUAUACCAUCAUGCUCAGUGACUGAGCAAGAUGUCCGGCCAGUUACGGGGGCUCACACCUGUAAUUCCAGCCCUUUGGAAGGCCAAGGUGCAGUGGCUCAUGCCUGUAAUCCCAGCACUUUGAGAGGCUGAGGUGGGAGAAUCACGUAAACCUAGGAGUUCGAGACCAGCCUAGGCAACAGCAAGACCUCAUCUCUACAAAAAGUAUAAAAAUUAUCCAGGUAUGUUGUACCUUAGUUCCAACUAUUCAGGAGACUGAGCUGGGAGGAUCGCUUGAGCCCUGGAGGUUGAGGCUACAAUGAGCUAUGAUUGUGCCACUGCACACAAUUAAAUAUUCGAUUAUUGCUAAAGACAUAAGAUGAAAAUGUCUCCCUCCCACCCCAGGAUCUCAGUUUCCCUUUCACCAAUAAUAAUGUAU